rnacentral:rRNA from 1 species
UAGGGAAUAUUGGACAAUGGGUGAGAGCCUGAUCCAGCCAUGCCGCGUGCAGGAAGAAGGCCUUCGGGUUGUAAACUGCUUUUGUACGGAACGAAAAGGCUCUUUCUAAUAAAGAGGGCCCAUGACGGUACCGUAAGAAUAAGCACCGGCUAACUACGUGCCAGCAGCCGCGGUAAUACGUAGGGUGCGAGCGUUAAUCGGAAUUACUGGGCGUAAAGCGUGCGCAGGCGGUUCUAUAAGACAGAUGUGAAAUCCCCGGGCUCAACCUGGGAAUGGCAUUUGUGACUGUAGAGCUAGAGUACGGUAGAGGGGGAUGGAAUUCCGCGUGUAGCAGUGAAAUGCGUAGAUAUGCGGAGGAACACCGAUGGCGAAGGCAAUCCCCUGGACCUGUACUGACGCUCAUGCACGAAAGCGUGGGGAGCAAACAGGAUUAGAUACCCAAGUAGUCCCUGAGCGGGCUGGCAAGGCGCAU